CCGUCUGUCAGUGUACAAACCGAUAAAAAGAAGCUCGACAGAAGCCCAUCGCUCCAUCUCUUCGCAUCCCUUCCCUGUAUCAUGGCAGCAGCCAGGGCGGCGCGACGUCGUCAAUCAGCACUCAAUCACCACCGGGCGGUGACCGGCAACCCACAGCAGAUCCGUUGCAGGAUCGCACCACCUCCGGUCGACAAGGAUUGAGCUCCGCGGAUCCAGGCGCACCGGCCAGAUCCGUCGCCGAGGCGACGACCUCCACCACCGCCCCACUAACCUGCAUCCUCGACGCGCCCAACCCCGGCCACCUCGACGACUCCACCUCCUCAAGGACGACCUGCACCACCGUCCUACCACCCCAGAAUUGACGCUGCCGCCGCCUCUCGGCGACUUCCCCUACCGGCACUAAAUUUCGCCUUUAAACAGUGGAGCGGCGUCGCCCCCAUCGCCUCCAACAUCAGGUCGGUGUCUGCUCCUUUACUCUGAAAUCGUGCCAUGCUGGCCAGAUCUAUUCUCUUUGUGCUGAAGUUGGCUGGGGACUUUUCACGUGGCAAGUUUCGUUGGCUGUACUAUCAAAGAUAGAAUGAGUGGAUUUGGUGUCAUACCAGUCAUGUUUCGACACUGUACUGACAAAGUUUGAGUCUAUAUUGCCAUCUCAACAAUAAUACAUGGAUAACAUAUUAAAGCCAUCGCGCCACCCGCCGGAUUGCCGUGGAAACUCCUGUUAGGCAUCCUCUCCUGAAUCUGCAUAGUAUUUGCAAAUUACUCCUGUUAGAUGUGAACGCACAGGUACUCUUGGUUCAGUCUGUUUCUUAUGUGAGAUCUGAAGUCGCAAUUUCAGUUAGCUUGGAACUAAAAAUUCAGUUAUCAUGAACCAUAUAUUCAAGUAGAGCAAAAGGUUCUUCUCCUCUAUGAUUUUCUUGGAUGAUUUCCUAAUUAAGACACCGCUGAUUACUUCAAUCCGUUAUGUCUUGAGUAAGCAAGCUGGUCUAACACUAAUGUGCCACUUUACUUGACUUUCUUUUCAUCUAUUUUUCAUCAUGGACUAGGUUUUUCUUACGGGUUAAUCUGGAAUUCGUUUUUGUAUCAGCUGGAGUGGAGACGACAAAUGGAAGAAUCACAGAGUGAAGGAAAACUGAGAGCACUAUGAUGUUCACUGAACUUCAGAUGACCGUUUUAUUAAAAGAAAAUUUUCGUUUAUUGCAACCAGGGCAGCGCUACAGAGGUACAAGCUUAGUACUAAACUGUUGUUAUGCAUCUGCAUGAUUGUAUAUGUAUCUCUUAAUGUAUGAGGAAGCUCUUCGAUCUAAAAAUGGCUUCAGAGGGUACUUCCAGCAUUUUGAAAUAUUCCACAGGAUAUAUGAAGACAAGCCUAUCCUAGCCAAUCGAUUCUCCGUAAUAAUUUACACUUGCUUUCAUGACUAUCUUCACUUGUGGCCUUCCGCAUCGUUCAACAUUUAAUUUUGAUCUCUGAUGCUUGCACGAGAUGCAAAAUUCUAGGAGCACAGCAUGGAUUUCAAAUUGCUUUUCAGAUGCAUGGGACCGUGUCCAUGGCAUCAUAUGUCACAGGGCAACAAACAGCACAAGACAUCUUAUGAGUGGACAUUCGUGAUGGCGUCUUAAGAGACUAGCGAUGUCUGUGUUACCUGCUUCCCUCUGCGAUGAUCCCAUCCAGCAGGCAGGCGGGACUAGCAUGGACCGGGCGAGUGGCAGCGGCGACCGGGAAGGCUGGGUGAUCAACUCAGUUGAGCUAGGAUACAAUUAGAUAGCCACAGCCCACAGGGACAAUUUAGUCCUUUCACGAGCCUACUUAUGUGAGAAGAAAAAAAAUGAAUAAAAGAGGUGCUAAUGGCAUAGUAAUCAAGGUGUCAACGAUCUAAGUGGCCAUUUUAUGGAGUCAAUAUGCAAAGUGGCAAUUUCUCAAAGCCACAUGAAGGAGGUGCCAAAAAUCCAAAUACUACAACUUCAUACAGUCUAGGCCCCUGGCACUUUCUGCUAAGAGAAAAUAUUAGCAACAAUCAGUUUGCAUAAUAUUGAUGUGCUCAUUUAUCAUGGAUGGUUAUCAAAUGCAUUUCACAGAGGUUAAUGUGCCUGGAAGUAUGUAAUAAAGUUAGCUUAUGUGUGAUCACUUACCAAAUUUUAGCUUAUGUGUGAUCACUCUUACCAAAUUUCUGGUAAAAUAUCUAAUGGAACGCAUAAUAUUAUAUCAUGUUCC